rnacentral:rRNA from 1 species
CGAAUGCUGACAUAAGUAACGAUAAAGCGGGUGAAAAGCCCGCUCGCCGGAAGACCAAGGGUUCCUGUCCAACGUUAAUCGGGGCAGGGUGAGUCGACCCCUAAGGCGAGGCCGAAAGGCGUAGUCGAUGGGAAACAGGUUAAUAUUCCUGUACUUGGUGUUACUGCGAAGGGGGGACGGAGAAGGCUAUGUUGGCCGGGCGACGGUUGUCCCGGUUUAAGCGUGUAGGCUGGUUUUCCAGGCAAAUCCGGAAAAUCAAGGCUGAGGCGUGAUGACGAGGCACUACGGUGCUGAAGCAACAAAUGCCCUGCUUCCAGGAAAAGCCUCUAAGCAUCAGGUAACAUCAAAUCGUACCCCAAACCGACACAGGUGGUCAGGUAGAGAAUACCAAGGCGCUUGAGAGAACUCGGGUGAAGGAACUAGGCAAAAUGGUGCCGUAACUUCGGGAGAAGGCACGCUGAUAUGUAGGUGAAGUCCCUUGCGG